rnacentral:rRNA from 1 species
GACGACGCUGGCGGCGUGCCUAAUACAUGCAAGUAGAACGAGUUGCGAACGGGUGAGUAACGCGUGGUAACCUGCCUGGUAGCGGGGGAUAACUAUUGGAAAAGGUAGCUAAUACCGCCGACAAUCAGAUGUGCCCAGAUGGGAUUAGCUAGUAGGUGGGGUAACGGCUCACCUAGGAGACGAUCCCUAGCUGGUCUGAGAGGAUGACCAGCCAAAAUGGAACUUGGGCACGGUCCAGACCCCUACGGGAGGCAGGAGGGGGGAAUAUUGCACAAUGGGCGGAAGCCUGAUGCAGCCAUGCCGGGUGUGUGAAGAAGGCCUUCGGGUUGUAAAGCUCGUUAAUCGGGACGACGUUACCGGAAUAGAAAGCCACGGCUAACUACGUGCCAGCAGCCGCGGUAAUAC